UGCAUGGUUUAACUAAUAAGUAUACGUCAUAGGGCAGCAGCUCAGGCCAUGCUUAACUAGGACUCUGAGACAACUGAGUCGACCACCGAAGGUGCGAGACUCUAGAGGGUGCAAGACUCUAGAGAGUGCGAGACUCAUGCUCCCCCCAGAAUAUUUUGGAUUUUUUAAAGCUCAGAUAAGCUAUUUCCAGCAUUCUGAGGAGUUUUCCAACAGGGAAUUAAUCUUACACUAGUCCCUGAAAAUCAAACUUAACCAGCUGAUCUUCUCGGACUGGUCAAAUCGAUCUCUGCACCAAAUACUGGGGCAGGAUACUUUUUUCCCCAGUUUGUUAGUGCAAGUAUUUUUUUUGUUCAGAAUAGCUUUGCAGGAAUUUUUUUUUUUAAAUCCCGCCCCCCCCCCCCUCAAAAGUUAAAUGUUCGGCCCCUUAGUAAAACAUGAACUCUUGGUAGGCAUGAUGUGCUAUUCCACUGAAUGAUUCAGACCAAUUUUUCCUGAAACAGUUUAAACAAUUUUUCAUUGUGUUAUAUUUUAAGCUGCCGUAUUUCUUGAGUCUGUGGGGGCAAGAUAUUUUUGAAAGUGUCGCGUAUCGAUUUAUUCCAGGAGGAACUUCCUAAUUAUGUACGUUUCCCUGAUGACCCCAUCUCCACCCCCCCACCUUACAAACCUAACACGAAAUUGAAUAGAGGUCGGUUGUAUCACAUGCGCUUGGCUUAAAGGGUGUAUAGGCAAAAAAUUAAAAACAUUCCUUCUCAAUAUACAUAUAUUGUAAGUACUUGAACUUAAUUUUAUCAAUUAAAUGAGUAGUUUUAUGCAUUAUUAUUAUGUUUAGACAGAAAAGAAAAGUCUAGUUUGCUUGUAGCCAAUAGUUCAUAGAUUUGUUUAAUUUAUACAACCGACCCCAGAUCUAUUUAUCGGCUGUUGUUCGCACGCAAACAAAUAUGUAAAUGCUUCAUAUUUAACUAUUGGCAAUUGUUUGCCGGUGGUCAGAAUGUCUGACACUAUCAAUCCAAAAUUCGUAAAUUAGUAUUGCAGGAAACAUGCCGAUUGUCGGAGAAUCUUUUAUCGAGUAUAUCAGUAUUUAUAAAGAAUAUCGUGUACACAACGCAACCGCGUCCAAAUUACGUUUCUCCUGGGAUAAAUCGAUGUGGACGUGUUAAAUAGCAAAGGUGUUUCUGUUUACAUAAAAAUCAAAAAAUCAUCUAUAUCUAUAUAGCAUUACCUAGCUGUCGGUAAAUAAUUUGGUAUUUAUUCCACAUUUACUUACAAUGGCCGAUGCUUCUUGAAACUUUACGUUAAAUAUCGAUGAGAUCUCUUGUACACUAAAGUUGAUGUUAUUAAAAUUACAAUUUACAAAAAAAAACAGACAAGGAACUACAUUUAGGCAUGUUUUACUAAUCGAGUCCAUGUUUUACUAAUCGAGUCCAUGUUUUACUAAUCGAGUCCAUGUUUUACUAAUCGAGUCCAUGUUUUACUAAUCGAGUCCAUGUUUUACUAAUCGAGUCCAUGUUUUACUAAUCGGGUCCAUGUUUUACUAAUCGGGUCCAUGUUUUACUAAUCGAGUCCAUGUUUUACUAAUCGAGUCCAUGUUUUACUAAUAGAGUCCAUGUUUUACUAAUAGAGUCCAUGUUUUACUAAUCGGGUCCAGUCCAUGUUUUACUAAUGAGUCCAGUCCAUGUUUUACUACAUGCCG